AAUUUGUAGGUACGCAAAUAACCUUACCACAAUUUGUAUAGCUUGUAAUUUUACAUUUGGUUUUAAUAAAAAAACUUGUAUGCUAUGUUUAUAUAUUAAUUUAUAUAUCAUAUAGUAGAACUUACAAGCUACAAGCGUUGCACGGCUGUUUUUAGUCAAUGUUGUGAAACUUUGGUUAGGUCCAUUAAAUUGAUGUAAGCCCUUGCUUUAUUUAAUAAAAAGCAGUUCGCCGCUGUAUUGGUUGCGAUAUAAGGGACUAAGAC
rnacentral:rRNA from 1 species